rnacentral:lncRNA from 1 species
ACGUAGUUUUAAUUUUUUUUUAUCUUAAAGGUAUUAGUAACCCCAAACAGAGGAUUUUUAUAUCCAUUUACUACUGUUCACAAAAAUCCAGGCAAGUUGCAGUCCCAGAGAGGAUGAAUGGUCUUUGCCCUCAUUGGGUAAAGUUGCUGCAGAUUUUGCCUGCAAGAUGGGGCCAACCAAGCAAUAAAGAGGCUGUGUUGUGCGACAGAUUAAAUCCAAGCGUAAGCAUUCCAGCGCUCAGCCAAGCCACGCUUCCGUUCCCUAGCCUGUCAGCCUCCCUCAAAGCGCUCACAAUCCACUGUUCUUCCUCCCCAAAGCCAGUCAACACAGAAUCAGGUUUUCCUAGCUAUGCCUUGCAAACUGGGGCUGUCUGGUGGAAAAGUGCAAUAAAAUCAGAAGGAAGAAGGCAAAUUCACUAAGACAUGCUCUGACAGCAAGCAAUGAUGGGAAAUCCUAGCUUCCGAAAUGGCCACCCCAAUGAAAUGAAAUGCAAUUAAACAGAAAUCAUCCUCUCAGCCUCAAAGUCGCUAUCCACAAACCCUGUGUUGCAAAGCUACAGACCCUUUCCUAGUGCCAGAUAGAACCUCCAACCUAAUGGGUGUGGGGGAUAACUCCCAAGUGCCCCAGGCCCAACUGAAAAAAAAAAAAAAA